rnacentral:lncRNA from 1 species
UCGUCCUCAUCGCGCGCUCAGCAGCACAGCGCACAUUCACGCGCGGAUCGCAGCGAGCGUCGCGUCGCGUCGCGCCUCUCAUUCCCGCGGCUGUCUAAUAUAAACAUGUUCCUCUAGAUACUGACAGAAAGAAGAAAACGACAGAGGCGUCAUUCAGAUGUUCUUCGCCUGAGCAGAGGACGCAGCCAUUCGCUGAGUUUGGCCCAGAUUUCUCAGUUCUAGGUUGUGUCAGACAAGCACUGGCCUCUGACGUCAACAUUACCCCAACACCCAGAACAGACCUUUAGAUUAAAGCUGCAUCAAGAAAGACUCAGAGUGACUCGGAGUGAGCGACGCUGACGUGGGAUCAGAGCUCUGGAGGGCCAGCAGAGGGCAAAGGUCAGACUUGAGAUGCUAAGCUAAGCUGUGU